rnacentral:rRNA from 1 species
CACGUAGGGUGCGAGCGUUGUCCGGAAUUAUUGGGCGUAAAGAGCUCGUAGGCGGUGUGUCGCGUCGGCCGUGAAAACCUGCAGCUUAACUGUGGGCGUGCGGUCGAUACGGGCAUCACUGGAGUUCGGCAGGGGAGACUGGAAUUCCUGGUGUAGCGGUGAAAUGCGCAGAUAUCAGGAGGAACACCCGUAGCGAAGGCGGCACUCUGGGCCGAUACUGACACUGAGGAGCGAAAGCGUGGGGAGCGAACAGG